CGACGUUUUUAUAAAAAAAGUCCCUGAAGUUAUUUAGAAUCAACCCGCAGUCCACGAUAAGUGGGAAAAAAGGUUUCACGCAGCCCUGUCUUGCCCGUAGCUGAAAUUGCUGCCCCGCGUGAGGGUUUCUUCCGCCGCCGUGCCUCCAUCCGUCCACCGCCGCCGUCCCUCCCACUCUGCGGCAUCCUUCCUCGAUCCGCGGUCGUCAAAUCAAAUCAAGACGAGAUCGGCAGGAUACACCGUAUCUCGCGCGACACCCAGCUGCAGCUGCUCAUGAGAUACAACCAUCAAUCUCGACGAGUUCCCGACGAUCAGAUCCAGGAUGCGGUGGACGACGGUGGCGAGAAGUGGCUAGAUGAAGGUCGCGUGGCCGUGUGCGGGUGGGCAGUCAGCACAAGAGGAGCAGCGGCGAUGUGUAUCUCAUCCUGCGGGGGGACAAGGAGGAUGGGAUGGAGCCUCCUGCAGUGGAGGACGACGAAGGGGCGUGGCGCCGCCCCUCCUCAGUGGAGGACGAUGACAAGGAGAUGCCGACGGCGUGAGAUUCCAAUUGAGACUUGCAGCGGCGGCAAAGUGAGGGCACGUGGCGACAGCGGAUCGAAAGCCACGGCAGCAGAUCGGUACCUUUGACUUUUUGGUGAAGCGAAGAAGUGAAGGACUAUCCUUCCUUUCAUACCUAAAAUGACCUGGUAGUUUUCCUAAGAAAGUUAUCCUAUCAUGUGAUAGACUAUUAGGUGAUCUCCCAUUAAUAAUGCAAUAGAAUCACUCCUGACUGAUCACCUGAAUCGCUCCUGACUGUUGUCAUUUGCAUCUUAAAUUAUCUGUCUAUGUACAUUAUUUAAUCACUACAUGUUUUUUUCUUACCAACUUAGAUCAUUUUCCAAAUGAAUCUUAGAUGAGAGGAAUAAGAAAUAUAUAAGUUGGUAGUUUUUUGUUUAUUUAACUUUUGAGAGAAAAAUAUAAGGUAGACCAUGUGGACAUACUCUUAAAAUUAUACGAUGAAUUGAUGUAGGGUCAUACAGACCAGAACUUUGUUGCACGGUCAUUGGGAAAAGUUAAGUCGUGCCUGAGUGGAUAAAAUAAAUGACAAAAUAUGACUAUUGCAUGGGAAACAAAUUCAAGUCAUAUCGUGUUCCCAUUUGGUUUUGUCUCUGUGUGUAGGUAGACGCCGUGAUAUUAAAGAAAAUGAAAUUCAAGGCUUUUUGAUAUGCUUACAUAGUUCAUCUAAGAUUAGUAAAAAACAUAUACUUAACCGGAACUCUCUCAAAAGAAACAAUAAGAGAAACGUUAAAUGAAUGAAUCUAUCAAUUUCUUACUUAUAUUUCAGAGUUUUAGUUAUAUAACAUAUUGGUUAUUCUUCAGGAUGCCUAAGCAAUUUUUACAUUUUGGUGUUGCAUCUGUUGUACAAUGAAAUAUAAGCAUUUUCUGAUGCACAAGACACAAAACAAACUGUAGUUUGGAAUAAUUAAACUUUCAAGAGCUUAUAACCAAGCCUCUAUAUUGAUCAUUAGUGCAAGUUUUCACACGCAAUUCUUUUUUCAAAAAGGUUUAGUUGAUGUAUUGGUUUAAAAAGCUAGCUCGUGCAUUUGCACGGGUUUUAUAGAACGCGGUGUUCGUGUUGUGCUCGCGCCGGUCUGCUAUGGGUGUGUGAUGUGUGCCGGCCAACGUCCGUGUUCUUGUGUGUGGCGCUCCACAGGCAGAGGAAGCUGCUGGCUUCCUGCAGAGGAGGAUUAGGAUUAGUAUAGCACAGAUUAUGAUAUCUCCCUUGAUUUCUGGUCUGCAUUAGUAUAACAGGGCACUGAUAUUUGUUUUGUGGUGUAGGAGCUUGAAGACAACAAGGGGCCAUAGGAUAUCCAUAGGAUUCAUGGAAAAACAUUCUUCUAUGAUUUUCUCCCCGAAACUGAAAUUAUUUCGCCCCUAAAUUCAAAUCCUUUUGAGAGAGCAACAUCAAACUUCAGUCAGAAGAACAUGACCAGGCAGGGAGCUUCCUACAACACUGGAUGUGAGAAAGUUUGGCAUUAGCAAGUGCGGCCACCACUCUGCCCCUCCCCUCUGCACUAUCCUUGGCUACCUUGUUGCUCACUUCGUGUGUGGCCACUUCAUCCCCAACCUAUCAGAGCAGAGUCUGGUAGACUGGCAGACAAAAGACUACACCAGUUUCAGUUUCAUGUCUUGUACGGUUGGAACUUACAAAAUUUAUUAUGUUCAGUGCUCUCCAGUAAGUAACAAUACAAGAGAAAAAAGUAUUACUAUUUUAAUCGUAGUUCAUGUGAAUUCAACAAGAAAAGGUUAAUGUUUUUACAUAAUGCAGAAAAGUAC